rnacentral:rRNA from 1 species
GUGAGGAAUAUUGGACAAUGGGCGCAAGCCUGAUCCAGCCAUGCCGCGUGCAGGAAGACGCAUCUAUGGUGUGUAAACUGCUUUUGUACGGGAAGAAACACUCCCUCGUGAGGGAGCUUGACGGUACCGUAAGAAUAAGGAUCGGCUAACUCCGUGCCAGCAGCCGCGGUAAUACGGAGGAUCCAAGCGUUAUCCGGAAUCAUUGGGUUUAAAGGGUCCGUAGGCGGUGUAAUAAGUCAGUGGUGAAAGCCCAUCGCUCAACGAUGGAACGGCCAUUGAUACUGUUAGACUUGAAUUACAAGGAAGUAACUAGAAUAUGUAGUGUAGCGGUGAAAUGCUUAGAUAUUACAUGGAAUACCAAUUGCGAAGGCAGGUUACUACUUGUGGAUUGACGCUGAUGGACGAAAGCGUGGGGAGCGAACAGGAUUAGAAACCCGUGUAGUCC